AUCUUUAAUCCUCACUUUGCCCUUUUGUCUCCGUACUCUACAGAGAACGGCGCUCGCUCGCUCGCUCGCCAUCAGGCCCUAAACGACGCCAGGGUUACCACCACAGUCGGCCCCUCUCGCAGGGGCGUCUCGUGAUCGGAUGUGCAUUAGAAGCUAUUGAUAGAAUACCGUCUUCGCUACUAGAUAUCGGCGAUAUUUGCAGUACCAAUGGGAACAGAACAUGUAACAACAGAUGUUAGUGGUGCAACUGAUGGAAUACCUCCAGUUCCACCUGGUUUUUCAUCUGCUCGCGUUUCUAAAGCUAUUGAUGGAAUACCUCCAGUUCCACCUGGUUUUUCAUCUGCACGUGUUUCUAAAGCUAUUGAUGGAAUUCCUCCAGUUCCACCUGGUUUUUCAUCUGUGCAUGUUUCUAAAGCUAUUGAUCGAAUGCCUCCAGUUCCACCUGGUUUUUCGUCUGCGCAUGUUUCUAAAGCUAUUGAUGGAAUACCUCCAGUUCCACCUGGUUUUUCAUCUCUUACAUCAUUUACCUUAAAGAGGGUGCAAGAUGGUGUGAAGGCUUCUGCAAAUGCUUCUUGCAGAGUACAUUGCAUGAUAUCAGAUGAGAAAUCUAGAAAGAAUCUUCGAUACAGACCCUGGGUAAACUACAGUGAAUUUGAUAAUGGCUCAGGCAAAGAGUGUGACUAUGAGGCUUUUGAGCAGGAUAUUCCUUCAACCCCUUGCCUACCAAAAGGGGUUAUUCGAGGAUGUACUGAAUGUAAAACAUGUCAGAAGGUCAUAGCAAGAUGGCAUCCACAAGAUGCGUGCAAGCCUACCCUUGAUGAAGCUCCUGUAUUCUAUCCAAGUGAAGAGGAAUUUAGAGAUACCCUGGAAUAUAUUUCAAGUGUUUGCCAAAGAGCCGAAAAGUAUGGAAUUUGUCGAAUUGUUCCACCCUCUUCUUGGAGACCACAUUGCCUUCUCAAAGAGAAGAAUGUGUGGGAAAAUUUAAAAUUUACAACUCGUGUUCAGCCAGUGGACAAACUUCAAAAUCGUGAUUCUUUGAAGAAGAUCAAUGGAAACCAUAACAUUAUGAGGACAAAAAAACAAAAACAUCAGGAAUUGAGGGAUAAUAGUGAUGAGAAUAUUACAAAAGUUAAUCGACAAAGGUACCAUAACAGUUCGGAGAGGUUUGGAUUUGAAACUGGUCCGGAUUUCACUCUGGAAACAUUUCAAAAAUAUGCAGAUGACUUCAAGGAGCAGUACUUUCACACAAAUGCAGACUUUGAUGUAAUAUCUGGUCAACAGGAACCAUCAGUAGAGAAUAUUGAAGGUGAAUAUUGGCGGAUAGUAGAGAAGUCAACUGAGGAGAUUGAGGUACUCUACGGUGCUGAUUUGGACACAGGCGUUUUUGGCAGUGGUUUUCCCAAAGCAUCAUUCUCUUUACAAAAUUCUGAAAUUGAUGAUCAACAUAUAAAUUCUGGUUGGAACCUAAACAACCUAGCUCGGCUUCCAGGCUCUAUGCUAUGUUUUGAAAGUGGAGAGAUUCCUGGUGUUCUAGUGCCAUGGUUGUAUAUAGGAAUGUGUUUUUCCUCAUUUUGUUGGCAUGUUGAAGAUCACCACUUAUACUCAUUGAAUUACUUGCACUGGGGUUCUCCCAAAAUUUGGUAUGGGGUCCCAGGAAAAUAUGCGUCAAAGUUAGAAGAUACUAUGAAAAAGCAUCUACCAGACCAAUUCGAAGAACAACCAGACUUGCUUCACAAUCUUGUAACCCAAUUUUCACCCUCACUGUUAAGAUUAGAAGGUGUACCUGUUUACCGGUGUGUUCAGAGGCCAGGAGAGUUUGUUCUCACUUUCCCUCGGGCUUAUCACGCUGGUUUUAAUUGUGGAUUCAAUUGUGCAGAAGCUGUAAAUGUGGCUCCUCUUGAUUGGUUACCUCAUGGGCAGAAUGCUGUGGAACUUUAUCGUGAACAGGGACGAAAAAUAUCAAUAUCCCAUGACAAGUUGUUGCUAGGAGCUGCAAGGGAAGCUGUUAGAGCCCACUGGAAUUUACUGUUCUUCAGGAAAAACCCCUCAGUUAAUGCAAGAUGGAAAAAGUUUUGCUCAUCAGAUGGCAUCCUUGCAAAGACACUUAAGGCACGCAUUGAGAUGGAAUGCAUGAGAAGAAAAUACCUUUGCUCAUCUCGGUCACAGAAAAUGGAUACUGAUUUUGAUUCUAAUAAUGAAAGAGAAUGUGUUCUGUGCCACUAUGAUUUGCAUCUUUCUGCUGCUAGUUGUCUGUGUUCACCAGAUAGGUUUGCUUGCCUGAUUCAUGCAAAAAAUUUAUGCUCGUGUGCUUGGAACACGCGGAUAUUUUUAUUCCGUUAUGAUACCAGAGAAUUGAAUGUCCUAUUGGAUGCUUUGGGAGGGAAGCCGAGUGCAGUUCAUAGAUGGGGCAGUUUUGAUCUUGGGCUAAGCUUGAGUUCAUACAUCUCAAGAGAGAAAACACAUGAACCAAAUCUUAUAGGUAUGACUGACAAAGAAGGAAGAGAGCAAAAGGAUAUUGAACCUGUUACAAAGGAGCCUAGCCUUGGGAUGGACAAAAAUUUUGAUUUGGGAAAUCCAAAUAUGACCUCAUCAUCCUUUUUGGAUCAGCAACUUUUAUCGGAAGGUCCCCAGAACACCACUUUGCUGCAAAACAAUUCUAAAUCAAUGGGUGAGGUAAAGAAAUUCAGCUCCUCACUUUCUAAGAUAUCUGGGAUAGAACUGAUUGAAUCUUCUGCUGAGAAGGUUGCUAUCUUAUUAAAUGGUAAUGAACAUAAAGGUACAAAUGGAGUGGUAUCGGAUAAAAUGACUGCAGAGUCCCCAGAAAAGAACACUGACAUGUUUUCAAGGCAGACAGAUUGUGAUGAUAAGACAACUUCCCAUGCUCACAAGGAUAAAAUUCUUUUAGUGCCCCAGACUAAUGUGUUGUUGGCAAACGAAAAAGAUCUGUUGGCUGGCCCGGAAGUUUCUCGUAAUAAGUUAAAGGUGAUACUGGUUGAUGAUGAUGAGCAGGUAGAGGAAAACUGCAGAGAGGUUCUCUCCAAUUUACAUGGUCAACAGUUGUUUGAAUUCCUUCCUGGAAAGGAAAGUGAAUGCGUGAGAUCUUCUGCCAGAGUAACUUUUGCAAAACAAAGUGCAGAUAUGUUGCCUGAAAAUGAAGCAUCUGAUUGUGGUACUGAACCUAUUCAUCUUCAAAUUAUCCAGAAUUAUGGAAGAGGAGAACCAGAAGAUAAAAGAAAGAAGGUACAAUCUGAGUUCAACUCUGAGGUUAACCUUGAUAGAAGCAAUUCAUCUACUGAAAUCCAACCUUGUACACAAAGAAAUCUUGAUAUAUGUAACUAUGAGAAGAUGGGCCCUCAAAUGGAAAAGGUGGUGAAAAUAAGUAAUUGCAAUAUUGAGGUUUUGGUGUAUGGUAUUGUGCUUUCUGGAAAAUUAUGGUCCACGUGCCACCGCAUAUUCCCAAAAGGAUAUAGAAGUCGAGUUAAAUACAUUAGCAUUUUAGAUCCAACGCAGAUGUGUUACUAUAUAUCUGAAAUUUUGGAUGCUGGAUUACUUGGGCCUCUAUUUAUGGUUGUGGUUGAGCAAUGUCCAAGUGAAGUGUUUCUCCAUGUUUCUGCCACCAAAUGCUGGGAUAUGGUGAGAGAGAGGGUGAACCAGGAAAUUCAAAAGCAACAAAAGAUGGCAACGCUUAAUCUCCCUUCCUUGCAGCCUCCAGGAUCAGUUGAUGGUCUUGAAAUGUUUGGUUUAUUAUCACCAGCAGUUAUACAGAUGCAGUUAACUAUUUAUACUCUGACAACUCAUGCUGGCCAAGUGUCGCUUGAUGUUUCACCACAUCAAGGUGCAAUGUUGUCGAAGUUGUUAAAGGCAAGGUUAGCACAACCGAGGGGAUUUAGGUGGUUAUAAUCGGCUGGAGGUUAACAAGAUUGAUGUCAGGCUUGAGGUCAAUGUUUAGGGGUGAUGGUCACCCGUUCAUUGUUGUGGUCGCAAUAAUUGAAGACAUGGCAAAGGCAUACAAUUUUGAGGGUCUUAAUGUGGACUCAGACAAGUAGUGAUUGCUGACUGAGGGUCAGCAUCUGCAUUUAUAUGCUAUGGUGGGUGAAACAACUUCUGGUAGAAAGGGAGGUAUUGUUAGGGGCGAGAUUGGCUUUUGGAACAGAACAAUGAACAAAAAAGGAAACCAUCAAGCUGCAGAGGAAAAAGAAAAGGCAAUCGAGGAGCUUGAUUGCAAUCAUGUCUGCACAGAGUACUGGACGGCCACGCCGAAUGCAUCGAACCAAUCUGAUAUAGCUAUCAUGGCAACAGAUCACAGGCCUAGUGUUCGUCCUACCGAGCAACACACUCCACCGCAGCCUGCCGCCUCAAAAUUGGCUGUGAGGUGUCUCUUCAAGAAAGCCAACCCGGAGGAGCUGCAUGCUUUGCGAAGUCUAUUACCAGAUAAUGAUCUUGCAAACGCCUCUCUUCAAGAACUUGUCCAACUUAUAAAUGAUGAAAUUGCAUGUCGUCUCUCCCGACGGAAGCAUCCAAAAUACUGAACAUGUUUGAAUUCUUCCCGUCUGUCUGUCCCGACCUCAAAUCACAUUUGUGUUUCUGUCUCGGAAAUCCAAGAUUAUUGUAUAUAUAUUACAUCGAAUUCAUUUUUGUUAGCUGUCUUUCUA